rnacentral:rRNA from 2 species
UGGGGGAACCUGACGACAGCAACGACCGCGUGAGUGAUGAAGGCUUUCGGGUUGCGUAAAACUCUGUCAAGUGGGAAGAACCCACAUGGUGAUAAUACCGCUAUGUGUUGACGGUACCACUGAAGGAAGCACCGGCUAACUCCGUGCCAGCAGCCGCGGUAAUACGGGGGGUGCAAGCGUUAUUCGGAUUUACUGGGCGUAAAGCGCGCGUAGGCGGCCGUUUAAGUCAGAUGUGAAAGCCCGGGGCUCAACCCCGGAAGUGCAUUUGAUACUAUUCGGCUUGAGUAUGGGAGAGGGAAGUGGAAUUCCUGGUGUAGAGGUGAAAUUCGUAGAUAUCAGGAGGAACACCGGUGGCGAAGGCGACUUCCUGGACCAAUACUGACGCUGAGGCGCGAAGGCGUGGGGAGCAAACAGGAUUAGAUACCCUGGUAGUCCACGCAGUAAACGGUGAUCACUAGGUGUAGCGGGUAUUGACCCCUGCUGUGCCGCAGCUAACGCAUUAAGUGAUCCGCCUGGGGAGUACGGCCGCAAGGUU